UACGAAGGGGCUAGCGUUGUUCGGAGUUACUGGGCGUAAAGGGCGCGUAGGCGGCGCACCAAGUCAGGCGUGAAAGCCCAGGGCUCAACCCUGGAAUUGCCUUCGAUACUGGAUGUCUUGAGUUCGGGAGAGGUGAGUGGAAUGCCGAGUGUAGAGGUGAAAUUCGUAGAUAUUCGGCGGAACACCAGUGGCGAAGGCGACUCACUGGCCCGAUACUGACGCUGAUGCGCGAAAGCGUGGGGAGCAAACAGG
rnacentral:rRNA from 1 species